rnacentral:SRP_RNA from 1 species
GCCGGGCGCGGUGGCGCACGCCUGUAAUCCCAGCACUUUGGGAGGCUGAGGCAGGUGGAUCACCUGAGGUCAGGAGUUCAAGACCAGCCUGGCCAACAUGGUGAAACCCUGUCUCUA